rnacentral:lncRNA from 1 species
GGACGCAGCCUGCGGCGAGAUGUCCUGGCCCGGCCUUCUCCAUGGCCUCACCACGUCCCUCAGUCGUGGUAAGUGAACAUGGGCCACAGGGACGAGGCUGGACGAGGACAACUCCCUGGGACGUGUAUGCUUUUGCCAGAUUUCGGAUGAUAUCAGCUUUAAGCACGGAGCCUUUACUGUUUUGGAGACAGGGUUUCACUGUAGUCCAGGUUCCCUCUCCCAAGUCGCUUUGUAGACAGGAUGGCCUUGAACUCCUGACUACCGCUUCAAUCUCAAGUUCUGGUGUUACAGGCGUUUUUCUACCACGCUCCCACCUCCUGCUCAAGGGGCAAGAGUUGGAAAGCUUCUGCGUCCAGACAGUUUAAGUCAGUCAUAGUCAUGGCUCCCCUACAUAGAUAACGGUGAAUCCCUGAGGUUGGAUUGCCUAGAGAUUGUCUUAGUUUGUGUAAGUACACUCUCAAUGUUCGUGCAACAGUCGUACCAACAAAUGCUCGUUUCUCGGCAUGUCUCCCCGGUUAGGUGUCUCUCAGUUGUGUUUAUUCCUUCAGUGAGUUUUUAUUGAUGACCUCCUAUGGGUGAGAAAUCCGAGCUAGAAGUUUAGUCAUUCAUUCAAGUGCUAUUUUUCUAAAUCUAAGACGUGCCACCACUGGAGGGCAACUUUAUAUUCUCAGACAUUGCCCAAACAUCAGGUCUUUGCACAGUGUCCUGAGGGAGGGGUUGGGUACGUCAUUCACAUGGGUAUUUAUUAUCCAGCCUGCUCUACGUAGAGAGAUUCAGGACAGGCAGAGCUGCAUAGUGAGACCCUGUUUC